AAAUUGAAGAGUUUGAUCAUGGCUCAGAUUGAACGCUGGCGGCAGGCCUAACACAUGCAAGUCGAACGGUAACAGGAAGCAGCUUGCUGCUUCGCUGACGAGUGGCGGACGGGUGAGUAAUGUCUGGGAAACUGCCUGAUGGAGGGGGAUAACUACUGGAAACGGUAGCUAAUACCGCAUAAUGUCGCAAGACCAAAGAGGGGGACCUUCGGGCCUCUUGCCAUCGGAUGUGCCCAGAUGGGAUUAGCUUGUUGGUGGGGUAACG
rnacentral:rRNA from 1 species